rnacentral:rRNA from 1 species
GACGAACGCUGGCGGCGUGCUUAACACAUGCAAGUCGAACGAAGUGGCGAACGGGUGAGUAACGCGUAAUCAACCGGCCCUUCAGAGGGGGACAACAGUUGGAAACGACUGCUAAUACCGCAUACUGAAGGAGGGGAUUGCGGCUGAUUAGCUAGUGGGAGGGGUAACGGCCCACCAAGGCGAUGAUCAGUCUCCGGUCGUAGAGGAUGAACGGCCACAUUGGGAAUGAGACACGGCCCAGACUCCUACGGGAGGGAGCAGUGGGGAAUCUUCCGCAAUGGACGACAGUCUGACGGAGCAACGCCGCGUGAGUGAUGACGGCCUUCGGGUUGUAAAGCUCUGUUAAUCGGGACGCGGUACCGGAAUAGAAAGCCACGGCUAACUACGUGCCAGCAGCCGCGGUAAUUC